CGGCAAAAUGUCCGGGUACCAAAUAAGGAGCUCCCGUAGCCGCGAUGACGUCAAACCAUGCGUAUACGGGUACUUUGACAUCUCUAUGGGUUCAUUGUUUUGACAUUUUAAAUUCGUACUUACGUUUGGGAUUAUCGCACACUCGGACCAGAAAUGUAAAUACGGCAAUAAAAGAUCACCAUUUUAAGAUAGAAGCUUGAAAAUAACAUUGUAAAUAGUGAAAAUAAUAUUACAAUCUCAAGGGGCCGAAGUUAUGUUCGGCGAAAG